ACUCAAAGGAAUAGACGGGGGCCCGCACAAGCGGUGGAGCAUGUGGUUUAAUUCGAUGCAACGCGAAGAACCUUACCAAGGCUUGACAUGGAGAUGAAUGUCGCAGAGAUGCGGCAGCCUUCGGGCAUCUCACACAGGUGGUGCAUGGUUGUCGUCAGCUCGUGCCGUGAGGUGUUGGGUUAAGUCCCGCAACGAGCGCAACCCUUACUUUCAGUAGCCAGCAGGUAAAGCUGGGCACUCUGGAGGGACUGCCGUGGAUAACACGGAGGAAGGCGGGGAUGACGUCAAAUCAUCAUGCUCUUUAUGUCUUGGGCUACACACGUGCUACAAUGGCCGUCACAGAGCGAAGCGAAGCAGCGAUGCGGAGCAAAGCGCAAAAAAACGGCCCCAGUUCGGAUCGCAGGCUGCAACCCGCCUGCGUGAAGCUGGAAUCGCUAGUAAUCGCGGAUCAGCAUGCCGCGGUGAAUACGUUCCCGGGCCUUGUACACACCGCCCGU
rnacentral:rRNA from 1 species